AACACUGUUAACCUGCGGUACCUGCGGAGGGAUCAUUAUAGUAUAUGGAAUCUCCAUUCUAUAAACCCACUCUGCGUAUCUUGUAACUGUUGCUUCCAUGGGACUUGGUUCCGCCACACCGGCUUCACGGCUGGUGAGCGCCCAUGGAAGGAGAAACAGAACUCUUCUUUGAAAUGUAGUCAGUCUGAACAAGUUUUUAUAAACGUUAAAACUUUCAACAAUGGAUCUCAGAUCGGAAGA
rnacentral:misc_RNA from 1 species